rnacentral:rRNA from 1 species
UCUAGUAUAAGCAUUAUACGGCGAAACUGCGAAUGGCUCAUUAAAUCAGUUAUCGUUUAUUUGAUAGUACCUUGCUACAUGGAUAACCGUGGUAAUUCUAGAGCUAAUACAUGCUAAAAACCCCGACUUCGGAAGGGGUGUAUUUAUUAGAUUAAAAACCAACGCCCUUCGGGGCUCUCUGGUGAUUCAUAAUAACUUCUCGAAUCGCAGGGCCUUGCGCCGGCGAUGGUUCAUUCAAAUUUCUGCCCUAUCAACUUUCGACGGCUGGGUAUUGGCCAGCCAUGGUGACAACGGGUAACGGAGGGUUAGGGCUCGACCCCGGAGAAGGAGCCUGAGAAACGGCUACUACAUCCAAGGAAGGCAGCAGGCGCGCAAAUUACCCAAUCCCGACUCGGGGAGGUAGUGACAAUAAAUACUGAUACAGGGCUCUUUUGGGUCUUGUAAUUGGAAUGAGUACAAUUUAAAUCCCUUAACGAGGAACAAUUGGAGGGCAAGUCUGGUGCCAGCAGCCGCGGUAAUUCCAGCUCCAAUAGCGUAUAUUAAAGUUGUUGAGGUUAAAAAGCUCGUAGUUGAACCUUGGGCCUAGCCGGCCGGUCCGCCUCACCGCGUGCACUGGCUCGGCUGGGCCUUUCCUCUUGGAGAACCGCAUGCCCUUCACUGGGUGUGCCGGGGAACCAGGACUUUUACCUUGAACAAAUUAGAUCGCUUAAAGAAGGCCUAUGCUCGAAUACAUUAGCAU